UAAUAACUUAGCGAAUCGCAUUAGCCUUUGUGCUGGCGAUGGUACAUUCAAAUUUCUGCCCUAUCAAUUUGAUGGUAGGAUAGAGGCCUACCAUGGUUUUACGGGUGACGGAGAAUUAGGGUUCGAUUCCGGAGAGGGAGCCUGAGAGAUGGCUACCACUUCUAAGGAAGGCAGCAGGCGCGCAAAAUUACCCAAUCCUGAUACAGGGAGGUAGUGACAAGAAAUAACAAUACAGGUCCCAAUACGGGCCUUGUAAUUGGAAUGAGUACAAUUUAAAACCCCUUAAUGAGUAACAAUUGGAGGGCAAGUCUGGUGCCAGCAGCCGCGGUAAUUCCAGCUCCAAUAGCAUAUAUUAAAAUUUGUUGCAGUUAAAAAAGCUCGUAGUUGGAUCUCGGAACAGGGAAUAACUGGUCUGCCGGUUGGUAUGUACUGUGUUCCCGUUCUCUACUGAUGGUAAACUUAUCUCUACUCUUAAAUGAGCGGAGAGUAGAUCAGUAGAAUGAAUGUGUUUUCGAACUCAUUCAUUCU
rnacentral:rRNA from 1 species